rnacentral:rRNA from 1 species
UACGAAGGGGGCUAGCGUUGUUCGGAUUUACUGGGCGUAAAGCGUGCGCAGGCGGUGAUGUAAGACAGAUGUGAAAUCCCCGGGCUCAACCUGGGAACUGCAUUUGUGACUGCAUCGCUGGAGUACGGCAGAGGGGGAUGGAAUUCCGCGUGUAGCAGUGAAAUUCGUAGAUAUCGACAGGAACACCUGCGGCGAAAGCGGCCUUCUGGACGAACACUGACGCUGAGACACGAAAGCGUGGGGAGCAAACAGG